rnacentral:rRNA from 1 species
GCAGUAGCCGCGGUAAUACGAAGGGGGCUAGCGUUGUUCGGAAUUACUGGGCGUAAAGCGCACGUAGGCGGAUAUUUAAGUCAGGGGUGAAAUCCCGCAGCUCAACUGCGGAACUGCCUUUGAUACUGGGUAUCUUGAGUAUGGAAGAGGUUAGUGGAAUUGCGAGUGUAGAGGUGAAAUUCGUAGAUAUUCGCAGGAACACCAGUGGCGAAGGCGGCUAACUGGUCCAUAACUGACGCUGAGGUGCGAAAGCGUGGGGAGCAAACAGGAUUAGAUACCCGCGUAGUCCCUGUCUCUUAUAA